GGCCGGUAAAAUCCUCUCCCAACCUCCACGCGGUACCGGCUGGAAUAUGCGGACAAAUUGCGCAUAUACCGAUAGGGAAGG
rnacentral:ribozyme from 1 species